rnacentral:tRNA from 1 species
GCGGUCAUGGCGGAACUGGCAGACGCGCACGUUUGAGGGGCGUGUGGGCAACCAUCCGGGUUCAAGUCCCGGUGACCGCACCA